GGCUGCACGCUGUGAGGCUGGGGCGGUCCUGCGGCCCCGGAAGUUCCAGCCUCGCGAGACUUCCCCACAGCGCCCUCGCCAACCGAGGGCUGUACACACUGCGGCUGCGCAGCAGCCGGCCACCCCGGGGUCCGCCCCGCAAGUUCCCGUCCGCCGAACUGGGCAGGCGCAGGUCCGGGACGCAGGAGGGCCUCGCUGCCCUCUGCCCACGGUCACACGUACGCCGCCAGAGAGUCGCGACAGCCUCAUCCUCCGGAACCAGUGGCCUCGAGACGGCACACUGUGACGGCAGGGAAAUCCCUGCGUGUCCAGAAUCAUCGGGAAGAUGAAGAACACUUACGAGACGCUGCUCGUAACAUGCUGAAAAAGCCUAAGACAACGCACAGGAAGGCCAACCACACGUACUUGGCCUUCAGACUAGUAACAUCCGCUCAGCGUACCACUGGCACUCACAGAUGCCUUCGGCCAGACUUCAUGACCCUCGAGAACUGGGGCGCUCCUCCCCCCUCCCCUCUGCAGUCCUGCAGGAAUGUUGUGCGGACGCGGACGCAGCACGCGUGGGAGCCAGCACCGCCGCCCUGGUGGAGUGUUCUGGAGUCUGCACUGGGGGGCAAGUCGCUUCCAUUAACCCCGUGUGACACUUGUAUAAGAAACAUUGCGUCAAGAACAGUAUCUGUAAAGGUCUGCCCUGCAACGCUCUAAACAUAAAUGAAGAAGGUGAAGGGGAGUCCGCUUACGGUUAACUGUUAAUUGUUUUAGUUGACAGCUUAAGCUGUAAAGUAUGUGGAAUUUUUUUAGGUGAUAGAUGUUUAUCACUACAAAUUAGGGGCAUCUGUUAUUUUAAUGAAGGAGAACAAUGGAACUGCAGCAACUUGAGACUUCUAUAAAGUACAUCUAAAAACAAGUUGGUGUGUCUUAGAUUCCAGAACUGUACGUCAUCUUUCUGCCAAUGACCUACUCGUAUCUCUUACGAGCACCGAGUUUCUUUACAGUUUUGUCUGUUUUGAUUGGAUCACCCUCAACCCCUGGAGUUUGACUCUAUCGCCAUGUGUGUCCGAAGACGAGCACAGAGACAGUGUGUCCCCUCUGCCAGACAGAGGGGUGUAAUGAAGAGUGACUGAAUGGCUUUUCUCCACUAAGUGUAGGAGACUUGGCUGAAAUCCUCUGUCAGAACGACUAGAACGGGUGCAGAGACUUCAUGCAGGAGACCUCCGUUUUCCGGAGCUCGCCAGCUGUCUGACAGCUCUCUCCAGAAAGGACACUUUUCUCCGUAGAAGAUACCAACCUCACGAACUCACUUUUCCACUCUUAUACACUACUUCUAGUCAAUGAUUAUAUAAAUGAGGAAAGCGGGUUAGGAAAGUGACCCUCCUCAAAAACAAAUCCCCACCUGAGGGUAUUAACUAGAUGCCAUCUCUGAACCACUAUGGGGCGGGACCCCUCAGGAAAGGCGCUACUGGCCCAGAUUCUCCUGUCCCCUUCGGUGGGAACUAGGUUCUCUUGUCCGAUACUCUCUCAGAGGACUUGUUACUGGUCAUUUUGGUUAACGUGUAGCUCCAAAGAAAUACCGAUCGGGCACACUGUCUCCUCGUGCUGCUGGGUGUGAGAGCCUUUGAGUCGGGACACCCCACGGGCGAAUCCCAAAGCCGAGGCCACUGCGGACGUGCACACGAGGGGGACCCAGGGGACGUGGAGCCAGUGCAGGGUGACUACCUGGUGUCAUGGGCACCGCUGAUGGGUUUGGGCGGCACAGCGUCGCUGCCGGAGGGACCGGGCCGGCCGGCGGCGGCCACAGUGACGGCAGCAGCAGGGCCGCCGUGGCUCCGCGCGUCUGAAGGCACGCUCCGAGUGCUGGCACGAGAAGAGAAGCUUCAGGAACACAGCUAAGGCACUGUGGUGUAUUUCAAGAUAAGGCAACAAAGAGCUUUUAAAAAAGGCUGAAGGAGGACACGGAAAGGAUACUUAGUUACAGAGCAAGCACCCAGGAGCCCAGAGAGUGAGCAUGCACGUCAGAGGAGGAGUCAUAAAGCAAAUGACUAGCUGAGCACCAAAUACCUGAAUCCCUCUGGAGUCGGGAUAAUCAGAUGUGGGUUAGGAGGGUCACUGUGGCAUCGCGGCACCUUCACGGGACGGGGACUGUUCCGAUGGAUGGCUGCCAGUGACAACGGAGACAAAUGCAAAGUGUUAAAGGGGUGGACAGAAGAUGCCGAACCAGACAACUUAGCAGAAACGGGAUGGGCCUUAAUUUUGCUGGUGACCAAAACAGAUCCAUUACAUGAGUAAGAAAAUCGUACUAUACCUAUACUCAUAUUGGGGAAAACACUGCUUUUUAAAAGUUAGUAAAAGUUACAUCACACAAACUUUUAGCCGUUGAAAACAUUUCUUAACAUCCCGGAGAAAAAGUACACAACGGAUGCAGAACAAACAACGUGGCCCAUGUGAGAGACCGCGCCGUGGCAGCUCCAGUGAGAAAGGGCUCUUUCUGCUGGCUACACUUUUUGAAAGAUUCUGGUCCAUGCUGACGCCUCAACAGGCUCUGAGUCAGGGAGGGUCGCUGUCAUUUUCCUGAGUACGUGGAGUUUUAUUUAAUUCUUUUAAAUCUAGAAUGAGGGGGGCCAGGCACAGUUUAAACAGGUUAUUCUUUUGUUCAGAACACAUUUUCUUCUCUUCUUUGUUUAAAUAGUCUGGCAAAAACUGGAUAAAAUUUACAAUAAAAAUUUAAAGGGAUAACCUUACCUCAUGAUUACAAAAACGCUGAUAAUUGUCCUUUCCCCGUAACUAGACACAGCUAGUGUUGCACAUGUAUUAAAUUGUCUAUUUCACCCUGACAUGUUGUCCCCUUACUUCUGACUCCGUUUUAACUCUCCUUAAUUUUGUAAAUGUCCUAUUUUCUUUUUAUGUGAAUAAUUUCACUCCAUGUGUUUUAUUCAC